CUACCUGAUGACCGAUAGUGAAGCAGUACCGUGAGGGAAAGGUGAAAAGAACCCCGGGAGGGGAGUGAAAUAGAACCUGAAACCGUGUGCCUACAACCGGUCAAAGCCCCAUAUGAGGGUGAUGACGUGCUUUUUGUAGAACGAGCCAACGAGUUACGGUAUGUAGCAAGGUUAAGUACUUAAGGUACGGAGCCGAAGGGAAACCGAGUCUUAAUAGGGCGACUAGUUGCAUGCCGUAGACCCGAAACCGGGUGACCUAUCCAUGGCCAGGUUGAAGCGAGGGUAAAACUUCGUGGAGGACCGAACCACGUUGCUGUUGAAAAAGCAUGGGAUGAGCUGUGGAUAGCGGAGAAAUUCCAAUCGAACUCGGAGAUAGCUGGUUCUCCCCGAAAUAGCUUUAGGGCUAGCGUCGGAUAUGUGUAGUGGAGGUAGAGCACUGAAUGGGCUAGGGGGCAUAUCGCUUACCGAACCUUAUCAAACUCCGAAUGCCAUAUACAUUAAGUCCGGCAGUCAGACUACGAAUGAUAAGAUCCGUGGUCAAAAGGGAAACAGCCCAGAUCGUCAGCUAAGGUCCCAAAGUGUAAGUUAAGUGGAAAAGGAUGUGGGAUUUCUAAGACAACUAGGAUGUUGGCUUAGAAGCAGCCACUCAUUUAAAGAGUGCGUAAUAGCUCACUAGUCGAGAGAUCCUGCGCCGAAAAUGUCCGGGGCUCAAACUUACCACCGAAGCUACGGGCUUGCGUAAGCAAGCGGUAGGGGAGCGUCGUAAUCGGGCUGAAGUCGUACCGUAAGGAGCGGUGGACUGAUUACGAGUGAGAAUGUUGGCAUUAGUAGCGAGAUGUAGGUGAGAAUCCUACAGGCCGAAUAUCUAAGGUUUCCUCAGGAAGGCUCGUCCGCUGAGGGUUAGUCGGGACCUAAGCCGAGGCCGAAAGGCGUAGGCGAUGGACAAUCGGUUGAUAUUCCGAUACCACUACCAUCGUUAAUAUCGAGGGUGUGACGGAGAAGGAUAGUGUGUGCUAGCGAUUGGAAAUGCUAGUCUAAGCGUUUAGGGAGUUACGGUAGGCAAAUCCGCUGUAACAAUUCUGAGGCGUGAUGGGGAAGGUCAUAUAGACCGAAGUACAUGAUUCCAUGCUUCCAAGAAAAGCAUCUAGAGAGAGAAGUAGUGCCCGUACCGCAAACCGACACAGGUAGAUGAGGAGAGAAUCCUAAGGCCGGCGGAAGAAUUGCAGUUAAGGAACUAGGCAAAUUGACCCCGUAAGUUCGCGAGAAGGGGUGCCUGCGAGAGCAGGCCGCAGAGAAUAGGCCCAAGCAACUGUUUAGCAAAAACACAGGUCUCUGCUAAAGCGCAAGCUGAUGUAUAGGGGCUGACGCCUGCCCGGUGCUGGAAGGUUAAGGGGAAUACUUAGCGCAAGCGAAGGUAUGAACUUAAGCCCCAGUAAACGGCGGCCGUAACUAUAACGGUCCUAAGGUAGCGAAAUUCCUUGUCAGGUAAGUUCUGACCCGCACGAAUGGCGUAAUG
rnacentral:rRNA from 1 species